CACCCGCGACAGCCUCACCUGGAGGAGCCUGAGUAGCCCCAGCAUGGCUUGUACUGUGACCAUGGCCCGCUGCCCGCGCACCAUCUCCCGCAGCUCACACUCCACCACGAACCUUACUUUGAGGAGUUUGGGGGCUGGCUGUGUGGAGCAUAGGAGACCCCCCUGCGGCUGCACAUCCAGGAUAUAGAGCAGGUGUGUUCCACCCUGGAGACCCAGCUGUCCAAGCCAUUCUGCUCCCUGUCACCUUCUUCUGCUGCCACCACCAGGGAGGCAGGGAAGGAGUUCCUGCAAGCGCCCAAGCCCCCAGAGUGCAUCUGACUCCCUGAUGGACCUCUGGUGGAUCCUCCAGGACCCCACGAACUUUACCUUUUAUGAGAUCCUGGGGACCGGACCCUUCCACAUGCUAACCAUGAGUUACACCAAGCUACACGCCCACCUCCUCCUCCUCUCGUAGGCCCCAGUGCCAUUUCCCCUUCCAUGCCUUGUCUCUCACCCCCGAAGCUCCACUGUGGCUUCAGCUUGGACUGCCACAGACAACAGCAGAACCUCACUGUUUGGAUUCUGGCUGUUCUUGCUGGAGGUAAGAAGGACAGCAGAAUUUUAGAUGGUUCAGGGAGAGUUAAUUCCACCCCAAAGAGCAUACCACACUGAUUAGACCUGAAAAAGGAUGUCCACUAGGACCCCAAGACUCAGAAACAAGUCACCGAGGAAGAAUGGGAACAGGGCUCUUUGGAAGGCCUUCCGGUGUGGGAGGGUUUCUGUAUGAGGGUUGGAUGGAGGAAGGCUGGUAGGCAGCUUCGCUACCCAGCUCAGUACCUCCUGAUCUGCAGCUGGAAGGACACAGACUCUCCAGCUUCUUCCAGGUCCUCAACGCUCACCAACAUCGUAAUUCCUAUCUGGAAGAGGGAAAAUCCAAAGUCACCACCCGAGUGUCCACUCUGGGCCCAGUCCUCCUGCUCCAAAGCCACUAUUAUUAUCCUCCACCUGCAUACCCCCAGGGGCUUCUCCACCCUGGGCUGUAGCUGGAGUUCCAUCACCGAGCCCUUACCUGGGUGUCCUUUUUCAUGGGGUUACCCAGCUCACAGAGUGCCACUCUGGACUCAUUCUCCUUCUUCUGAGCACAGACCAUCCUCUCAAAGCCCUGGAGGUGCACAGACAGGUGGUACAGAGCAGUGUGGGCAUGGGGUGUCCUAUAUGUCUGCAGAAGACUUGCCAGACAGUUGUGGGGUUGGGGAGUUCGAGGGACUGCCACCUUCUAUUUCUGCACUGCUCUGCUGCUGCAUCAUUUUUGCUAUUUUUAAAGGAUUUUCAUAUUGGAAAUAAAAAAAAUAUUACCCAGA